rnacentral:rRNA from 1 species
GACGAACGCUGGCGGCGUGCUUAACACAUGCAAGUCGAGCGGUAAGGCCCUUUCGGGGGUACACGAGCGGCGAACGGGUGAGUAACACGUGGGUGACCUGCCCUCAGCUCUGGGAUAAGCCUGGGAAACCGGGUCUAAUACCGGAUAUGACUCCAUGACGCAUGUUGUGGGGUGGAAAGCCUUGUGCGGCUGAGGAUGGGCCCGCGGCCUAUCAGCUUGUUGGUGGGGUGAUGGCCUACCAAGGCGACGACGGGUAGCCGGCCUGAGAGGGCGACCGGCCACGACUGGGACUGGGACACGGCCCAGACUCCUACGGGAGGCAGCAGUGGGGAAUCUUGCGCAAUGGGCGAAAGCCUGACGCAGCGACGCCGCGUGAGGGAUGACGG